rnacentral:rRNA from 1 species
GAUGAACGCUAGCGGCAGGCCUAACACAUGCAAGUCGAGGGGUAACUAGAGUGAUAGCAAUAUUACUUUGGCUAGACCGGCGCACGGGUGCGUAACACGUAUGCAACCUACCUUAUACUGGGGAAUAACCUCGAGAAAUCGGCGCUAAUACCCCAUAACACUGCGGAGAGGCAUCUCUUUGCAGUUAAAGCUCCGGCGGUAUAAGAUGGGCAUGCGUCCAAUUAGCUAGUUGGUGAGGUAACGGCUCACCAAGGCUACGAUUGGUAGGGGUUCUGAGGGGAUGAUCCCCCACAGUGGUACUGAGACACGGACCAGACUCCUACGGGAGGCAGCAGUGAGGAAUAUUGGGCAAUGGACGAAAGUCUGACGCAGCCAUGCCGCGUGCAGGAUGACGGCCCUAUGGGUUGUAAACUGCUUUUGUACGGGAAUAAACCCUUCUACGUGUAGGAGGCUGAAGGUACCGUAAGAAUAAGCACCGGCUAACUCCGUGCCAGCCGCCGCUGUAA